rnacentral:rRNA from 1 species
UAACACGUGGAUAACCUACCUAUAAGACUGGGAUAACUUCGGGAAACCGGAGCUAAUACCGGAUAAUAUUAUGAACCGCAUGGUUCAAAAGUGAAAGACGGUCUUGCUGUCACUUAUAGAUGGAUCUGCGCUGCAUUAGCUAGUUGGUAAGGUAACGGCUUACCAAGGCAACGAUGCAUAGCCGACCUGAGAGGGUGAUCGGCCACACUGGAACUGAGACACGGUCCAG